rnacentral:lncRNA from 1 species
CUAAAUAUGUUGACGUGCGUUAUAGUUUUGCUUCUUUUAAGUUAAAAAAAAAUUAAAACUGAAAAAUAGACUUUGAAAAAAUGAUUUACGGGAAACUACGCCUCACUGAUGACACAGCCAAUCAGCCACCGUUUUUAAGUGUAUACCAAAGCUCUCAGAGUGCUCAACUUUCUCAGCAAUCUAUAUAGAAACUGGAAUGUGAAUGUUUCAGCGAGCUUAUGUAUAUAUUAUUGAAGCAGUAUAUAAUCGGAGCAAUAAAGAGGUUAAUACGGACUUGAAUAAAGGAUUACACCAGCACGGUUUGCUGCUGUGCCAAAUAAGAAGCAAGUGACAUUUGCUCUGUAAACUUAAACCCCGCACAUUGAGGGCGCAUAAGGACGAACGAAAUGUAAUCAGGACAGCUCUAUAUAAUACAAAAAAGCAAGAGAUAAAUAUAAAACAGCCAGCAAAUAUCUGGACCUUGCAGCCGCAGCAUACUAUAUACUUUGAGGUUGGUCCUGUCAAUAUUUUCUACCUUUACUAUUGUACCCCGCCCAGCACCGUUGGCGGAGACCGCCGUUGGUGUCGCCACUGCCGAAAAUCCCGUUAUCUUUCAUAAAUAAAAUAUAAACGCAACUAAUUAACGCUAAAUGUAUUAUUUGUGUCAGGAGCUUAAAACUAUACCAAGAAAAAAUGGCCGACUAUUUCACAGAAUCUUUUAUAAUGACAUCUCAUAUCUCUUUCCAGGAAUUGUAGUUCGUGACAACAGACGAAUUUCGAUUGCGUUUUAGUGAAACACGUAUGUAUACACAAUUUGGAGUGGGCUGGGAUUAAUUAAAUUAUAUUUUUUGCACUAUACGUUGAAGAUAGUAAACUAUACACACCACUCCAGCAAAUGUCAAAUCAAACAAACCUAUACCUCCAUAAACUAAGCAAUUAUAACUCAUUUUAAAAGCUAUCUUGAUUAUAGUAUGAACGAUCCCAUUAUUGAUCGUUGCUAUUAUUGGAGAUUUUUUUAGAUGUUUUCAUACACUUUUAAUAGCCCAUAUAUACCCAAUGAUGCAGGGGAAAAAUAGCCAAUGCAAAGGGGCAAUAUACUCACUAAAUAGACUUGCUAGAAAGCGAUUGAAAGUGUUAUGUCAUUAAAAAAAAACGUUUGGACUGGCCGGUUUAGCCAGGAUGAAAAAUUGUUCACACUCAUCACAUGAAACAGCAUGAGUCAUGAUUCGUGACCAAUAGAAAUACACAUCUACAGGCCUGUCUCUUUCUUUUAUACGGGUUAUGGCUGACGGUUAAUUCAUAACAUCAAAAUGUCGCAAAGGAAAUAAGCUAUAGAAAACAGCAAAAUUGUUUAACACUUACGUAGUUUUUGACCCACACGACAGCAUAUCUAUACUAAAAGGCCUGCUAUAGUCUAAAAAUAAAGAUGGUCCUGAACAUGACAUUAGGAGAAAGCACGAAAAUGAGGGCAAGGUUGUUGCUGCUGCUGAGAACAGAGAAUAUAAAAGUCUGGUUAGGAAAUUGUUUGCUGGAUGCCAGCAGGGGAAAACCUUGUCCUACACGAAGGCCUUUCAUCUGUUUUAUACGGCACUGGUGUUUUAGCUAAAAGGCAGGUCAGUUUUGAGGAAGAGGUUGGAGAUUUAUUGCUUGGGCUGUGACGUAAUCUUUAUAAAAGUCCUAUAUUAUACGAGUGCUCGCCAAACUCAAUCUGCUUUUUUGCCAGGGGCCAGGUUUGUUUUCGUCUUGUUUGCAUAUAAACUUGGGCCUGUUAAUUAAACGAGUUAUUUUUACAGGGUUUUCAGUAUAAAAGAUCAUCCACACAUAUCUCAAUCACGACGAGUGUACAUAAUAAUAAAAACUUGUUUAAAAUUAACGGGACUUGCUAUAUAGUUGGGGUGGAAAAAUUCGCUUCAACUCGUAUAUAUACCCAAUUAACAUCUGUCAACUCUGUCAAAUUACACGCAUCACAGCUAUAAUAACAAUAAUUGAUAUUUGUCGUUUUGAUAAGUUAAUCCCUAUUUCCGAGUAACAUUUCAUUGUGUCGAAGUACACAGUAUACGCUGUAUGUAGGCUGCUGCUGCUAACUAUAGGGAAGCAGACAAACUUUUGAGAGUUAGCGUGUGGGUCUUUAUAGGUAAAAUGAGACUAGUGCCUCACCCAAUAACUUGCACUGUGUGGCAGCCAUUUUGAGGGCUGAACCAGCCAAUGGGAGAGCGAUGAUGGAUGGUCAUAGGUCCACCACAGCAUAUAGGCUAUCUUUCUGAUAUCACUGACAAGUGAUUUACAUGCUCGUCAUUAUCAGCAACCGUAAUCUUUUCACGACUGAUAAUUUCGAGUUUAGAAAUACCUCUGCAAGCCCCUUAACAAAUAAUGUAAUAUAAUAGGGUAAUAACUAAAACCAAUGAGUAGAUUUCGUAGCUUUAUAUUUUGAGAAGGCACUGAAUAUUUUAUUCGCUGCAUUGCGCGAUAUACCUUUUUACAGUUUAAAUAUUCUGAAUCGAUAUCGAUAUCAUUCAGAGGGCUUGGCCGGCUGUGCAUUUGUCAGCAGUGUGGCUCAACCGGGCUCAGCAGCACAACACAAUCAAAGUAAAACUUUCAAGUUAUGCUGCUGCCUAUUAGAGAAAUAUUUUAAAACAAAAACAGGGAAAGUUUUCUGUACGAAAUUGCACUCAAAUGAAUAAAUAGCUAUACCCAGCAACUAUAAUAGGAUUUCAAGUAUAUAUAUAGCUAGGCCUGUCGCUAAAUAAUGCAUCAGCAGACAGCAAACUGCUUUUUUCCAAACAAGAAAGAUAAAUCGAGGCGUCUGCUGCUGUCGCUGCACAUAACUGCGUUGUAUAUAGGAUACAAUGUCCAAGCAAGUGUUAACGUGAAAGUGAUAUAGCCAACACAGCAGGGCAUUCCUUGGAAAUAACAAACGCAGAUUGAUAAAAGAAAAAGUUUGAUAUAUAUACAAGUCAACAUUGAUGACGAGUUAUAAUAUAUAAGAUUGACUAUAUCGCUUGAAUAAGACUUCGAGGAUCCAAGAUUUUGCUAGCAAAGCAGCUCAUCGAGCGUUCGAGGACCAUUACAACCUAAGUCAAUAUAGGGGCAGCAUUGUGCAUAUUUUAUAGCCUUAUAAGCAACUCAUUUUUUUGUCAAACAUCAAAUUCUCAAUAAAACUAGGAAUACUUCACCCCGUUAAUACGGACGGAAAUCAACUCGUAAUUUUGUGAAAAUGUUGAAGUUAUGUGGGAAAGGGGUUGCUGUAUGGAUUUUUUGUUUCUAUCACAGAGACCAGCCAAGGCUGCUGCACCAUCGAUCCCUUGUCUCAGUAUAGGUAAAAAACGUACGUGGGCGAUGAAACACUCUAUAUAUAUAUAUAUUGAUACAAAAUCUUAUGUGAAAUGUUCUUUGAUUUCCUAUGUACAUUGCUGCUGGCUGAUGCCCGUUAUUCGGGUGCUAUAGGUCGGCCUGAUGAUGCGUAGCUUAUACUUAACAAACAUUAAGAUUGGGAGUAGACAGGAUUAUUGAUCUAUGCUGCUGCUGUGUUUCUGGGAAUGAGAUCGUCUAAAAUACCUGUAAGAACUGGUGGAUGUAUGUGCUGAAGUCUCAGUCGAUCCAUAUAGAGAAACGCAGUUAGAAAGGGCCAGAAUAAAAAGCUGUACAUGGCGAAACGAAUUGGACCAGGAAUGCCAUCAAAAAGAGAUAGACUAAAAGAAAAUGACUAGGCCCUACAAUGUACGACGACAAAAAAUAAACAAAAAAUGGCUGCAAUGCAUCAGUUCUGUGAUGAUAGCACAUGAUGAGAUAUCCCAGAGAAAUAGUAUAGGCUACAAUAUGAUGGAAAGGAAGCGCGCGGAUGACAUAAACAAAACUAAACUAUAGUUGACAUUUAAAGCUUUUUUUCUUUUCAAAACUAAUACUAAUAGUAUGGGUGGACAGAGGGCAUUAUACAAGAAGUUUGAGUUAAGCUUGACGGGUGUCUUUUUCGGGUUUAUUAAGACUGUGACUCUAAAUGAAUAACAUCUCUUGCAAUUCAAAUUGCAAUUUAGAUCAAAAACGUUUAUCAUAAUGAAGAUCAAAAUGAUUAGGUUAAUCACAUUACCUUUUUCUCGCAUAAGUUGAAUAGAGCCAAAUAAAAAAAUAUUAGACGAUGAGCUACCAGCAUAAUAUACAUGUACAGAUCAGUGCUGUGCCAAUCAAAACAGGAAAAAUAACGACACGCCUUCAGAUGACGCAAAAUGAGUCAUCUUAUAAGCACAAUCACUUGGCAGCUCGUUCAGUUAUGCUUGAGGUAGGGCAAGCAGAGCUCGAGGCAAACAAUGUGACAGGUGAACGAAUAUUGUAUAAUAUCCUAAUAAAAAAGGGCGACACAUUUUGCACUCCCGAAUGCAACUCUGUUGAAAAAUAAUGGUCGUAUUCAGCAAGUGUUUCUACAAUUCUGCCAAAGACCAAUAUAGAGAAAUUUAUAGGCUACUACCGAUAUUUAAUCUCAAGCAAUGCAAUAGAGAGGGUCUACACCGAUACACUCUAAGUGCAGACCGAUAGACACUCUCUUGGUCUCCUUUUAAAAAAGAAUAUUGUUAAAUGCUAUAAUGGUUGUUCCUCUAAAGUGUCGAAUGCUAUACCUACACAUCAUUUUGAAAGCAGCAGUGGUCGCAUUGGCAAGUUUCUGGGACUGGGAGAUAGUUUCAAAAUUAUUAUAAUUGGCGGAUAAUUGGCUAUGUGUAAAGGGCGUAUACAUUGACGUCAGCCAUAGCUCGCGAUACUUUCACUUCCGUAUUGUUCAUGUACAUAUAGCCUAGACACAUGCAGGGAUAAGGCAAAGGAAACAAUGUUUGCUCUACGCAUGUACAAAUUACAUAACCAGCACCCAGCAGCCUAUAGGCCUACUAUCCCUGGGCCUGUAUAAAAAACUCUUGAUAAUUCAAACUGGCACAACUUUGACGAUUGGUUUCUGUUUGGUUGCUAUGACAACUCGUAAGAUAAAUACGAUUUGCCUCUCUUCCUUUUUCAUCGAAAAUGUUGUUAUAUAAAAUAUAAAAUAAAAUACUUGGACGAGGAUAUAGCGGAUUUCAGUUGGCUGUACAAUUAAGUUGGACCCCUGAAGUUUAAAAAUAGACGUUUUACACCAUUUCCUUAAGCAAAAGUAACGAUUUCAUUGGCGGCCAAAGUCGGCAAAAGUUCGUAUAAAGGGAGUUUCCAGUUUUCUCAAAUGGGGAAAACUGCUAUUUAUGCUGGUAUAUAAGUUUGGGUGAUGAAAUUUUCAUGCAUUACUAUGCAAAAUAGCAGUGAUGAAACUCUUUACAUAUACGCAUCAUUUGCUAAGGUGCUGAAUGCUGCUAAAUUGGAUUUCUACUGGAAGUUAUUUAAUUCAACGACUCCCAAUUGCUUUUAGAUGCAAGUCUUUCGUUAAUUAGACGUUAUUUUUUUGAAGCAACUCUAAAGUUUCAAGUUUAGAAAAUGUUUCCAAGAAACAAGCCAGACGAAUCAUCACCUAUUAUAGAUGUCGCUGGUGUUUUUGGGCUACAGAAGCACUUCGUCUCGCACCAACGGGAGCAAGAUGACCGAUGGUUACAUCACAAAAUUACGGCAAUCAUCGUCCAAUCAAAUCAAAUUCAAUUUUCCUUAUUUCCCUCAUUAUAUAUAGGCCUGUGUGCAUAAUUUCGACUAUAGAAUUCAACCUUGACGAGAAACUGUUUACAAAGACACGUCAGCAAGAAAAAGAGACAAGUUAUUUGCUUAAAGGACACAGUCUGCGUGACACACCUUUCACGAAAAGUUGUCGGCAUAGUAUUAAAGAUUCGUUCGCUAUAGUAAGAGAGGCCAUCACACUCUCUAUUAGAGGUUCUAUCUACCAUAUACAGGAAGAAGCAGACGUGGGAGUGGACAUGGAUUUGGACGCUAUAUAAUAGAAGCAUCAGCGUGAUGCGGCUCGAAACUGUGAACAUCUGCAACCACUUGUACAACCUCAUCACUUCAGCAACUGAAAUUGCAUAAACAAGACACAAUUCAUUUCUUGUUUCACUAGAAAUAUAGCAGUUAACAUAUUAGAAAUGGUUUUUCAACUAUAUUCGUGUGCUGGUAAUAAUUUGCUAAAGUGAUCGGCCAUUUUGCUUUUAAAACAGACGACACUAUUGCAAUUGUUGUUAAUUGGAACCAAGUUAUUCUAUUUCGUCCCAAGUUAUUUAGUUCGUAAAAAACCCUGAACUUUUAUUCAAGUAUACUGAAUAUUUCUGUUUUUUUCAAACAUAUAAUUAAAAAAAAAAUCACGACAGAUAUAACUACUUUGUUAUGUAAAGAGUUAAACAAAUCAAUUAAUGUAGGCUAUUACAUAGCUAAUGUAUGCCAGAUUUAUCUGCAAUCCGAUAUUAAGUUGAAUUGUUGUUAACAUAAACUAAUACAUACAUGGAAAAAGUA